GAAGAAAAGUAAAAUAAAUUAAAAAUCCAAACCAUUUCGGAUCCCUCUGGGAUCGAAAUCGAUUUUGUAUCUAUUUUCUGUUUAUCAAUAGCAUUUCCUAACCAAUAUUCUUUUUCUUUUUUACUUUUCAUUGAGAAAAUCUGUAAAGAUUUCCUCUGAAAUAUAUAUAUCUUGAGCAUGUUUUUGGCUUCAGGCUUUUGAUCAUAUUAUUUCGAAGAUCAUCGC
rnacentral:lncRNA from 1 species